rnacentral:rRNA from 1 species
GAUGAACGCUGACAGAAUGCUUAACACAUGCAAGUCAACUUGAAUUUGGGUUUUUAACUUAGGUUUGGGUGGCGGACGGGUGAGUAACGCGUAAAGAACUUGCCUCACAGCUAGGGACAACAUUUGGAAACGAAUGCUAAUACCUAAUAUUAUGAUAAUAGGGCAUCCUAUAAUUAUGAAAGCUAUAAGCGCUGUGGGAGAGCUUUGCGUCCCAUUAGCUAGUUGGAGAGGUAACGGCUCACCAAGGCGAUGAUGGGUAGCCGGCCUGAGAGGGUGAUCGGCCACAAGGGGACUGAGACACGGCCCUUACUCCUACGGGAGGCAGCAGUGGGGAAUAUUGGACAAUGGACCGAGAGUCUGAUCCAGCAAUUCUGUGUGCACGAUGAAGUUUUUCGGAAUGUAAAGUGCUUUCAGUUGGGAAGAAACAAAUGACGGUACCAACAGAAGAAGUGACGGCUAAAUACGUG